rnacentral:rRNA from 1 species
GACGAACGCUGGCGGCGUGCUUAACACAUGCAAGUCGAACGGAAAGGCCCUGCUUUUGUGGGGUGCUCGAGUGGCGAACGGGUGAGUAACACGUGAGUAACCUGCCCUUGACUUUGGGAUAACUUCAGGAAACUGGGGCUAAUACCGGAUAGGAGCUCCUGCUGCAUGGUGGGGGUUGGAAAGUUUCGGCGGUUGGGGAUGGACUCGCGGCUUAUCAGCUUGUUGGUGGGGUAGUGGCUUACCAAGGCUUUGACGGGUAGCCGGCCUGAGAGGGUGACCGGCCCCAUGGGGCCCUGGGUACCGCCCUGCGUCCGUGGGGCGGUCUGGGGGGGGAUUUUUGCACAUGGGGCGACCGCCGGGGCCAGCAACUCCGCGGGGGGGAGGACGCUCUUGGGGUUUGACACCGUUUCUCCCGGGGCCGAGCCGGGGGGGCGGUGACUGGUUAAAGAACCCCCGCCUACCUGCCG